GGGAGAACCAAGAGGAGAGAGAAAUUGAAGUAUCUUUUUAAAGUUGGUGACUGACUAGAUGUCGAAGAAGGUGAGGUUUCUUCCCACUUUCAAUUCUGGGUAAUGAAAGUGUCAUUAACUGGAAAUGGGGAGGAGGAGCAAGUCUAGGG